GGAGGGGUGUCCGAGUGGUUGUAAGGAGCUGGUCUUGAAAACCAGUGAUCUCGUAAGGGACCGUGGGUUCGAAUCCCACCCCCUCCGCCA
rnacentral:tRNA from 1 species